rnacentral:rRNA from 1 species
GAUGAACGCUGGCGGCGUGCCUAAUACAUGCAAGUCGAGCGAACGGACGAGAAGCUUGCUUCUCUGAUGUUAGCGGCGGACGGGUGAGUAACACGUGGAUAACCUACCUAUAAGACUGGGAUAACUUCGGGAAACCGUAGCUAAUACCGGAUAAUAUUUUGAACCGCAUGGUUCAAAAGUGAAAGACGGUCUUGCUGUCACUUAUAGAUGGAUCCGCGCUGCAUUAGCUAGUUGGUAAGGUAACGGCUUACCAAGGCAACGAUGCACAGCCGACCUGAGAGGGUGAUCGGCCACACUGGAACUGAGACACGGUCCAGACUCCUACGGGAGGCAGCAGUAGGGAAUCUUCCGCAAAGGGCGAAAGCCUGACGGAGCAACGCCGCGUGAGUGAUGAAGGUCUUCGGAUCGUAAAACUCUGUUAUUAGGGAAGAACAUAUGUGUAAGUAACUGUGCACAUCUUGACGGUACCUAAUCAGAAAGCCACGGCUAACUACGUG